rnacentral:hammerhead_ribozyme from 1 species
GCUGAUGAGUCCCACAAUAGAACGAAACGGCCGUCC